CAGCCACACUGGCUUGUUUCUAACAGAAGCUGCGUCGGGGGGGAUGUGGGAGGAGUUAUUUUGCAGUGAAGCAAAAUACCAUGAACACGAUGAAGUUCACAAGAAAAGAAACUGAAACUGAGGCGAAGGAGCAUGUGUGGCACUGCAAACAAAAUCACCAGCCCUGGAAGCUGUACGUGGCGCUAUUGUUUUCCCCGUCCCGUGUGGCUCUGAUCUGUGGUGUGACUCCACGCUGCCUGAUUCACAGGAAGUCUCAAGAAAGACGCAACCAAAACAGGACAUGCUUUCUGUUACGGUUGAUUUGUCAAGCAUUUACGAUUGCAGUUAAAGUGAAACUUUGAGAAAUGCAUUUGU